rnacentral:rRNA from 1 species
AUUGAACGCUGGCGGCAGGCCUAACACAUGCAAGUCGAGCGGAUGAGAAGAGCUUGCUCUUCGAUUCAGCGGCGGACGGGUGAGUAAUGCCUAGGAAUCUGCCUGGUAGUGGGGGACAACGUUUCGAAAGGAACGCUAAUGCCGCAUACGUCCUACGGGAGAGAGCAGGGGACCUUCGGGCCUUGCGCUAUCAGAUGAGCCUAGGUCGGAUUAGCUAGUUGGUGAGGUAAUGGCUCACCAAGGCGACGAUCCGUAACUGGUCUGAGAGGAUGAUCAGUCAAACUGGAACUGAGACACGGUCCAGACUCCUACGGGAGGCAGCAGUGGGGAAUAUUGGACAAUGGGCGAAAGCCUGAUCCAGCCAUGCCGCGUGUGUGAAGAAGGUCUUCGGAUUGUAAAGCACUUUAAGUUGGGAGGAAGGGCAGUAAGUUAAUACCUUGCUGUUUUGACGUUACCGACAGAAUAAGCACCGGCUAACUCUGUGCCAGCAGCCGCAGUAACAC